ensembl:lncRNA
GGAUGCUAAGCUGAAUCAAUGGACCAGCAAUGCUAGCUAUCGUCAAGCACGACCGGAGGAGGGAAACAGAACGCAUAGAAUGAACAUGCAACUGCUCCAACAGCGAUAAACGAAAUUGCGAUGCUUGAAAUAAAGCUGGAGGCUAAAAUGGAGAGGGUGAAUUUUAAAGAGGAGAUGAUUGAGCUUCUCAAAAAAGACAAGGUCUACCUCCAGGAGGAGCUGGCGAAGAAAGAUGCCUACUUCCAGGAGAAGCUGGCGAAGAAAGAUGAAAAUUAGGAAACAAGCAGAAUUUAAAAAGCGUGACAUUUCGAGCUCAUUCGAAAGUCCCCAAGACCUUGAGUCAUCUGUCAGAUUCAUCUCUGGAGCCACCCAGAGAAAAAAAAGGAAAGCAAAAGAAGAGAAAAUGGUGUAAAUCAACUCGACCUGAG